GAUGAACGCUGGCGGCGUGCCUAAUACAUACAAGUCGAGCGAACAGACGAGGAGCUUGCUCCUCUGACGUUAGCGGCGGACGGGUGAGUAACACGUGGAUAACCUACCUAUAAGACUGGGAUAACUUCGGGAAACCGGAGCUAAUACCGGAUAAUAUAUUGAACCGCAUGGUUCAAUAGUGAAAGACGGUUUUGCUGUCACUUAUAGAUGGAUCCGCGCCGCAUUAGCUAGUUGGUAAGGUAACGGCUUACCAAGGCAACGAUGCGUAGCCGACCUGAGAGGGUGAUCGGCCACACUGGAACUGAGACACGGUCCAGACUCCUACGGGAGGCAGCAGUAGGGAAUCUUCCGCAAUGGGCGAAAGCCUGACGGAGCAACGCCGCGUGAGUGAUGAAGGUCUUCGGAUCGUAAAGCUCUGUUAUUAGGGAAGAACAAAUGUGUAAGUAACUAUGCACGUCUUGACGGUACCUAAUCAGAAAGCCACGGCUAACUACGUG
rnacentral:rRNA from 1 species